rnacentral:pre_miRNA from 1 species
UUAACUCAAAUUUGUAUGGAUUUGGAACGUUUGCCUACGUUUGCCGCUAGGGGCGCUAUUCCAACUGCAUACAAAUUCUAGUUA